UCAUGAUUCACCAUCACAGUGUUACCCCACACUCCAGGAUGUUAAAAGAAGAACACGGUCUCUCAAAUACAAACACGGUUUGUAUUUCACCGAAAAGGUGAAUCCGUUAUUCGAGAUGCCACGGCAGAUAUCCAGUGAGAAUGCAAAUCUAAAAGGACAACAAAGAAAAUGUCAUUUACUUCUCCUCAUCGUCGGCCUUGGGUGUGUCCUCCAAGUCACGCUCAAUGUUUCGCUACGCCUUGUCUGGUCCUCACGAUUCCAUUUGGAUUGCAAUAAAACUUGCGCAACCAGUCAGAGCCAUGUGAUGGAGACUCACAAGGAUUGUGACAAAAAAACAGGACAUCACUGCAACAGAUUACAAGAAAGAUUCAAUGCUUUACAGAAAGAAAGAGACGCACUUCGAAACACCGUCUCAGAAUUGAAGAACUUUGUACGGAGGUGUGUGUAGUGUCUUUGGAACAGCUCAAUUCUCAGGUGAUACGGCUGGAGUUUUUUUCCCUCUACCUACUCGAAUCUCUGUCUUUCUGAUGACACCAUCCUCAGGAUAUUGAAGAACUGCAUUUUCUUUUUGUUUCAAAAUGUCAUUUACGUGUUUGCUUUGUGCCAAUACUACAAUUGGAAGGGAACAAUAGAGAAAUCAGCUCUAUGUAUGCAUAUAUUCUCAUGUUCACUCUUUAUGUUGGGCAUCAAUAAUGACUGAAUAUAAAAUGGAAAACUUUACAAGGCACAGAUGCAGAUGACCAAAUACUGAUAAGAAUUUACUUUACAACCACCCCAUUACGUACACCAAGUUAAUGAAGUCAAGUUAAAAUUUAGAACUUCACUGCAUCAUGAUGAUUUCAAUUAUACAUCAACAACAGUGGAAAGGACGGGACCAUUUUUGAUUCUGGGGCCAGGUGUAAAGUUUUAUUAUGACAAUAGUUUCAAUGGAAGGAAGGCGCUUGCUUGAGUAAUGCCUUACUUGCUACUUUGCUUGUUGCCAUAGACCCGGUUUACUCUUGCUUCUUGUUUACCUGAUGUCGUUGUUUUUUUUGCGGCGACCUUUGGUCGUUGUUUUUUGUUUUCGGUAUUUAGUUUGUAGCACUUUACAUCCGUGUGCUAUUUUUGUAAAAUAAAUCCACUUUGAUGGCUAACUGCAUUGUGAUCUAUCCUUUUGGCUUGCUUUGCCAAUUAUGAGUAAAAUACAGUGUAAAACAACUAGCAGGCUACUUCCUGAUUAAGAUACAUGUGACAAAAGUGGAGCAGGUAAGUGCGGAUUUGGAGUUGAAUUGUGCACUUUGAUACAGCAUGCUAUUUGGCAUGCGUGUUGAGAAAAAAAAGUGCUAGCCACAAAUGCAAGAUAAAAAGGGAAGGGAAAAAAUCAAUAUGCCCACCUGAUGGGCAUCUGUGAUGUUGCUUUGCUCAGAAACCAUGUUUAGAUUGUUAUAUAAGCAUGACAUUUGCUAAGGGUGUUUCUUGUAGAUCACCUUCUCAAGUGUAGUAUAUAGGAAUGGAAAACAACAGCAACAAAAAAAAAACCUCAACAUGGCAGUUGUUUUGAAGAACAACA